GGACUUGAAACUAGGGGAGCUUGCCAGGAUCUGGAAAGGUGGUUGCAUUAUCCGUGCAAUAUUUUUGGAUCGUAUUAAGCAAGCUUAUGACAGAAACGCAGAUCUCGCUAACCUACUUGUGGAUGAAGAGUUUGCAAAGGAGGUAGUUGAACGCCAGUCUGCCUGGCGAAGAGUGGUCUGCCUAGCUAUAACCUCGGGUAUUAGCACACCUGGCAUGUCUUCAAGUCUUGCUUACUUUGACUCAUACAGGAGGGAAAGGCUUCCUGCAAAUUUAGUCCAAGCUCAAAGGGAUUACUUUGGU
rnacentral:misc_RNA from 1 species